CCGCCAUCAUUUUGUACAGAUUCAUCUGAUUUUGGUGUCGUAAAUUGCGUUUAUUCUAAGCAAAAUGAGAAAAUUACGUUCAUGAGCUUCGGUUUAACAGUGAUAUUACCUCACUGGGCAAAUAAUUUUUGCCUUUGCUGCCUUUAUUCUUCUAGUGUGGUCCCUUACAAACAUUUUGGGUACCUACAUGAUCAAAUCGAGUGAUGUUUUCACAUAUUUUUGGCCUCAUAUUAGCUUGGUUCAAUAAUUCACUCGAAUUCUCAACGAGAGAGCUACUUAUUGACUCUACAAUUUUAGAAUCGACAACGACUCCAAUGCUUUAUUUGCUUAAUUCGGUCAUCCGAAUACUACGAGCAAAUACUCCAAAGAAAAAUCCAAAACGUUGUAUCUCAAUGGACAGAGCAUCUGACCGGCAAUCAGAAUGCCCGCGUUUCGAUUCCCGGCAAUGGAAAGAUGCCAAUUUUUCCUCUUGUUCAUCGCUUCAAAUUAGUUUGGAAGGAAAGAAAAAAUUGGAUCUCACAUACAUUUUUGGAUUGAACGUUUCCCUUCCACAUCCAAAACUCCAACUGAACGUUCGCAUGAUUUUUGCGGAUUGUGUUCCAGAAUACCGGCACAGGUUAUCUUUCAAGCUUGCAUAACGUCAUUAUGCACUUUUUGUUAUGCAGCUUCAUCAUGCACAUUAUUAUUACAAAUUACUUUUGUAUGAUUUGCCUCUCGUACAUAAUACACGAAAUCAAUAGAAAAGAGAAAGAAAUAAAAUCGUUCCAAAUUAAUUAAUAUAAAUAUUCCCCCCAUAUUUUGUUGCGUAAAAUUUUAAUCUAUUGUUGUGGUUUAUUCUUUCUUCACCAUUAGAUCCUAAAAACGUUUUAAUUGUUGUACGAGGCCUUAUACCCGGUGGAGCAGCAGAAGCAACUAAUUUAAUAUUUCCUGGAGAUCGAAUUAUUAUGUGUGGUGAACACGAUCUACAAGGUUGCAGCUUAGAUGAAACAGUUUCUAUUAUGAAAUCAUUGCCAUUGGGUGUUGUAAGGAUUGGUUUGUGUCGACCAUUGUCUACGUCUGAUAAUAACAUAUCAUCAUCUGAAUCACCCACAUAACCGAAAGUGUUGGAAAUAUUUUUCGAAAUAAAUAUUUAACGCUUUUUUCGACGAAAGAAUGACAUUUGCAGUUCCGCUGGAUCAGGCUAUUACUUCAAGAAUAUCAUUUAUUUUAAUUUGCACCAUCAAGAUCUAGCUGUAUGACAACUAUAAAAAAUAGUACAAGAACAAAUUCUCACCUGGUUGAAAAUCCCGACUUUUUCGUAAUAACAAAACUACGUAGGGCUUUUGAUCUCGUAUACUAGGAAUAAUUAAUAAUGAGAACAAUAGGAAUAUAACAAACAGUUGAACUUGACUGUUGACACAUUUUCAAAAAAUAAAGGUCACCAAAAGCGCCACUCGUUUCAGUUGUGACCCAAGCAAAAGUCACCGUUAAAUUUAGGCUGCAUUAUUACGUUCUUUUCUACCCUGUUGGUUGUUAAGAUUUCAAAAUUCAACAUUAGACCAGAAGACACGAAGAUAUGCAAAAUAUACAACAGUUAAAUUUAAGCAAUGAAAUUAUGACAAAUAAAGUAAAGUCAGACAAUUUUUGUGAGCUAAAACUGGAUUGUAAUAUACUUCAGGAAUGCUCACAGAAAAAUGGAAGUCGAAAAUUUAACCUUACGAAGUCAAUAUAGGUGGCCCAAUCCACGAAAAAUACAGAACGCAUUUAUUUUAACCUUUUUGUGGUCGACAUGCAUAUAAACGUUAUAAGGCUGAGUCCAAAUGCUCGGCUAAAAAUCAGAUCGUGUUAUGAGCUGAUGUCAGCAGCACUAACGUCAGCUGCUGAUAUCAUCUGCUGACGAGUAUGCGUUGCGUUGUUUUAACGCAUUCGCAGAAUAAAAACAAGAUAUUCUCGAAACAUAUCAAUGAGAUUUUUGCUUGCCUCUUCGUUUUUAUACUGCAAAUGCGUUAAAACAACGCAACGCAUACUCGUCAGCAGCUGAUAUCAGCAGCUGACGUUAGUUAGUGCUGCUAACGUCAGCUCAAAACACGCUCUGGAAAAUAUUCACAUCCGUCUUUCGUCGUAUGUAGGUGGGUUUGACAUGUCAGGUUAUUUAAUUCUGGGCUAUUGCAAGCCACUAGACCCAUUUUCACAUAUAGUUUGUAGCAUUUGUGCGUGCACGUUAUAUUUUGAAUGUACCAAUCAGAACUAAAUCCUAUAGUUUCGAGAUGUAACCUGUCAAAUAUGACGUCAAUCCUCCAGUAAUUUUGGGACACCCUUUAUAUGAUCUGUUGUAAAUAGCAUACCCAUAAAACGGUGAUUUAGACAACGCGAUUAUCAAACCGAUUGUUGCAUAUAACUAAUUUGGAAAAUCAAAUGUUGACUAAAAAAUGUCCUAUGUACUGACAAACUAGCCCACAAAUUACAAGGCAAACGAGCUAAUGAUCGUUAAAAUCUAAUUUCAUAAUUAAAAACUAUCGUUGAAAACUAAUUUUAUCAAUUAAUAAAAAGAAUUACAUUCGUAAUCCCGAA